AUUGAACGCUGGCGGCAUGCCUUACACAUGCAAGUCGAACGGCAGCGGACCUUCGGGUGCCGGCGAGUGGCGAACGGGUGAGUAAUGUAUCGGAACGUACCUUUCAGUGGGGGAUAACGUAGCGAAAGUUACGCUAAUACCGCAUAUUCUGUGAGCAGGAAAGCAGGGGAUCGCCAGACCUUGCGCUGAUUGAGCGGCCGAUAUCAGAUUAGCUAGUUGGUGAGGUAAAGGCUCACCAAGGCGACGAUCUGUAGCGGGUCUGAGAGGAUGAUCCGCCACACUGGAACUGAGACACGGUCCAGACUCCUACGGGAGGCAGCAGUGGGGAAUUUGGACAAUGGGGGCAACCCUGAUCCAGCCAUGCCGCGUGAGUGAAGAAGGCCUUCGGGUUGUAAAGCUCUUUCGUCCGGGAAGAAAUCGCAUCAGCUAAUACCUGGUGUGGAUGACGGUACCGGAAUAAGAAGCACCGGCUAACUACGUGCCAGCCGCCGCCGUAAUAC
rnacentral:rRNA from 1 species